rnacentral:rRNA from 1 species
GACGUAGGAUGCGAGCGUUGUCCGGAUUUAUUGGGCGUAAAGAGUUCGUAGGCGGUUUGUUAAGUCUGAUGUUAAAGAUCGGGGCUCAACCCUGGGACUGCAUUGGAUACUGGCAGACUGGAGUGCAGUAGAGGCGAGUGGAAUUCCCAGUGUAGCGGUGAAAUGCGUAGAUAUUGGGAAGAACACCGGUGGCGCAGGCGACUCGCUGGGCUGUAACUGACGCUGAGGAACGAAAGCCAGGGGAGCAAAUGGG